CGAAGCCUUCGGGCGAGUAAAGCGGCGAACGGGUGAGUAACACGUAACCAACCUACCCUCGAGAUCGGAAUAACCACUGGAAACGGUGGGUAAUGCCGAAUGGUCCCUUUGGAUGGCAUCAUCCGUUGGGUAAACGGCGGUUUACGCUGUUCGGGGAGGGGGUUGCGGCCUAUCAGCUUGUUGGUGGGGUAACGGCCUACCAAGGCGAUGACGGGUAGCCGGUCUGAGAGGACGAUCGGUCACACUGGGACUGAGACACUGCCCAGACUCCUACGGGAGGCUGCAGUCGAGAAUCUUCCGCAAUGGGCGAAAGCCUGACGGAGCGACACCGCGUGUAGGAUGAAGGCCCUCGGGUUGUAAACUACUGUCACGCUAUAGGAACCCCAUGUGUAAUGAGCAUGGCUGACUAAAGCGAGAGGAAGCACCGGCUAACUCCGUGCCAGCAGCCGCGGUAAGACGGAGGGUGCAAACGUUGUUCGGAAUCACUGGGCAUAAAGCGCACGUAGGCGGCUAAGUCAGUUCGGUGUGAAAGCCCCCGGCUCAACCGGGGAACUGCAUCGAAUACUGCUUGGCUUGAGGACGGUUGGGGUAAGUGGAACUCCUGGUGGAGCGGUGAAAUGCGUAGAUAUCAGGAGGAACACCAGUGGCGAAAGCGGCUUACUGGACCGUAUCUGACGCUGAGGUGCGAAAGCUAGGGUAGCGAACGGGAUUAGAUACCCCGGUAGUCCUAGCCGUAAACGAUGGGCACUAGGUAGAGGGAAUUCCUAUGGUUUUCUCUGCCGUAGCAAAUGUGUUAAGUGCCCCGCCUGGGGAGUACGCUCGCAAGGGUAAAA
rnacentral:rRNA from 1 species